rnacentral:rRNA from 1 species
GGACUUUUCGCUUUUAGCGGAAGGAAGUUUGAGGCAAUAACAGGUCUGUGAUGCCCUUAGAUGUCCUGCGCCGCACGCGCGCUACAAUGACCAGUUCAAUCGGUACUUCCUUGGUCGAGAGGCCUGGGUAAUCCUAGAACUCUGGUCGUGAUGGGGCUAGAUUAUUGCAAUUAUUAAUCUUCAACGAGGAAUGCCUAGUAAACGCAAGUCAUCAUCUUGCAUUGAAUACAUCCCUGCCCUUUGUACACACCGCCCGUCGCAUCUACCGAUGAAUUUUGCGGUGAAGUCUUGGGAGCCUAUU